rnacentral:rRNA from 1 species
UACAGAGGUCUCAAGCGUUGUUCGGAAUUACUGGGCGUAAAGGGUGCGCAGGCUGCGCGGCAAGUCAAAUGUGAAAUUCAGGGGCUCAACCUCUGCAUUGCGCUUGAUACUUCCGUGCUCGAGCUUUGGAGAGGAGUCUGGAAUUCUCGGUGUAGCAGUGAAAUGCGUGGAUAUCGAGAAGAACACUUAGGGCGUAGGCAAGACUCUGGACAAAUGCUGACGCUCAUGCACGAAGGCUAGGGUAGCGAACGGG